GUGAUUCCCUCCUACACCCCCAGAAACCCGAGCAUGGGGAGUGGACGUGCUCUGCAGCCUUCCCCAGGGCAUGGGGACAAGCAGGAGCUUCACCAGGCAGGAGCUGUGCCAGCUGCACGGGCACGUCCUGCUCCCUGCCUCUCCCCAUCACACCCCAUUGCCCUCACACCCUCUGUCCCACAGCUCCACAUAACUGGAUCCCGCACGCCCUCCCCACAGGCAUGGUGCUGGCAGUGGCGGCCGUCAGCCUCGUCCUCCUGGCUGCAGGCAGCUGGUUUGCCAUCAGGAAAGGUGAGGAAGUUGGGGAAUGUGGGGGGAAAGGCUUAGGCCGUUGGGGUCCUCUUGGGGCUGGUGCAGUGGGAAAGGUUGUUGGGGGAACCUGGGGGUGCACAGCUGCGGGAGACGGUGCCUGGGGGUGAUGGCUGUGGGCAGCCCAUCUGGGGAGGCUGCUGAGGGAGCUGGGGAGCUUCAGCCUUCAUCCCCCAGCCCCGAGAUGGGAGCCAGGGCUGGGCAGCACCUUGGCCUGUGCACCUCAGCCCCUGUUCUUCUUGCAGGUGCCUGCAGAGGGAGAUGCCCAAGGCAGCAGCACGUUGACAGCCCACAGACGGAAGACACCAACUAUGGUGACAUCCAGUGUGAGUACUACCUCCUCCCUUGGGGGAAGCCACAUGCUCCUCUCCCCACGAAAAUACUCUGCAAGCCCCCAUUCAAUCACACCACUUCAUUUCCCACUGGGACAUUCAAAAUCCCUGCCCGUUCAUCAAGGCCAGGUUUCUCUCCAGCACCUCACGUCCUGCUUCUUCCUUGCAUGCAGAGUGCGUGCGGCUGCUGGCUGCACAAGGGACAUGGCAGCAUCCCAGUUCUCAUGGGGACAAAGCCCCUUUGCCUGGGGGGUCCUUCCACACCUAUUGCAGCCCCAGGCUUCAAUUCCCCUGCUCCAGCCUCUGCUUUUGUCCUUUCUUCACUUUUCCUACAAAGCGAUUUCGGUUUUCAUGUAGUUGAAAAGACACAGCAGCGAUGAAAGAUGUGGCUCUCUUUCCUUGUGUUUCUGGGGAAAGCAUUUUAUAGUUUGCUCUGAAACCACAGGCAGCACCAAAGAGAGGAUGUUGUGGUUGGGUGACAGGCUAUAGAUAUAUCCCCACCCUAUUUGCACCUCCCUCGAGUGUCAGCACAACCUUGUUUUCCCACGCCUGCACAGAGCAGCUCGCAAGGUGUGCUGGCUGUGCAGAGAGAGGAGAUUCCACAGAAAGCUGGAAAUACACCAAAACCUCAGCAUCUCUGCUCCACUGCUGCUUAAUGCUCAUCCCAGAGCAGGAUGAUAGGAGGGGAAAUUUGGCCAGGCUUUGAGAGCUGACCUCAGACAGCUGCUGCCCAAGGUCAGUGUGAGGUUCAGCCCUCCACCAACAGGCAGCAAGGACUCAUCAAGUGUUUUUUUUGCCCCCACAGACUCCACCAUCGCCCAUGUUCGACGGGACAGGGUGAGUCGUGGCACAGCUGUGCACAGCUCCUUUCUGCACUCCUGCAACCUGAUGCCUGCUCAUUGUGCAGGGCUCACAGUCAGCAGCUGAAGUAACAGGGUUUCAUUUCCCCCUAAAGCCUCCUCCCAUGCAGCACAUGAGAAACACCACGACAUAUGCCACAGUGACCCGCACCCAGAUCCGAUAGCGCUGCCACAGUGCAAGGGCACAGGAGCCUUGCCCAUGGCUACCUUUGCUCUGUCCAAGAGGGCUUGUGCAGCCAUAACAUGGGGCUGGGGGUGCACUUUGGUCUUCUUUGUUUGUUUGUUUUUUUGUCACAGGGAAGGGCUGUGAGUGUCUAGCCAAGACGAUAUAGGACUCAUACCUCCAUCUACAAGACAUAAAUACUUCUAAAAUACAUGACCUAUACCAAAUCUUACUGUGAAUGUAUUGAUUUUUUUUGAAUAAAAGAAAACAUCUUGCUAUGCUCA
rnacentral:lncRNA from 1 species